rnacentral:rRNA from 1 species
CAGCAGCGCCGCGGGAAUACAGAGGGUGCGAGCGUUAAUCGGAUUUACUGGGCGUAAAGCGUGCGUAGGCGGCUUCUUAAGUCGGAUGUGAAAUCCCUGAGCUUAACUUAGGAAUUGCAUUCGAUACUGGGAAGCUAGAGUAUGGGAGAGGAUGGUAGAAUUCCAGGUGUAGCGGUGAAAUGCGUAGAGAUCUGGAGGAAUACCGAUGGCGAAGGCAGCCAUCUGGCCUAAUACUGACGCUGAGGUACGAAAGCAUGGGGAGCAAACAGGAUUAGAUACCCCAGUAGUCCCUGUCUCUUAUACA